rnacentral:tRNA from 1 species
CCCUGGGUGGCUCAGUCGGUUAAGUGUCUGACUUCAGCUCAGGUCAUGGUUCGUGGGUUCCAGCCCCACAUCAGGCU